UGUCGUCAAGAAUUAUUUCGAAAACGUAAUUGACUUACUGCACGCGCGUGCUCUUUCCUUUGUAGUAACGCGCAAGACGUAGAUAUACUCGCAAAAUUUUAUUUUCGAGCACGUAUCAUGCGUCCGAUAAAUGCGAUCGCUCGAUUAUUAAUAUUUUCCUCGCUUUUCGAAUUUUUCAUAGGAAAUCAUUUGACGUACUACGUAGUACGUAGAAAAUUUCUAUCUAUGCUUUGACCGCUCUUGACUUUAGCUUCAAGAAUCUUCUUCGAUUCCAAUUCGACGGAUAUUGCGGCCUUGCUCUUUGGAAUCCUACAACGUACGUUCGUUUUUUUUUUCUUUAUUUUAAACAAUUGAACGAGUUCAGUUAUUUGCUUCUCACACUUUCGACGCUUUUUCCAUGAAAUUUCAAUAAUAUCGUUUUUUCUUUUUGCGUCAAUGAGACGAAUUGUAAUGCAUAUGUACGUAUGUAUAAGUUAUUAACGAGCUGGAGACCUUGGUCGCUAAUAUCAAAUGUUUUUUUUAUUCGCUCGUGGGUACCUACCUUUUAUGAAUAUGAAAACAUAUACAUAUGUAUACCCAUUUUUCUAUUACGUAGAUUGCCAGGAAUGAAUAUGGAAAAGAAAUAAUAACAGAAUAACAGAUGACGUUGACUUUUUACUUCUUAUUACGACUCGUGCAUACAAACGGGAUGGUGAAAAUUCAAUGGAAGAGACUAUAGCGAAGUUGCUAAAUUGUUUUCUCUUACAUUACCUCGAUCGAAAUCCUUUGAUCCAUUAAUCGUGGCUUCGAUCUGUAAAAUUAUCGAUCGAUCAAUGUUAACCAUUGGUAUAUUAUCGGAUGGAAUAAUGUACCGACGGUUGUACUUGGGAGUACACGGUGUUUACACGUGUUACGCCAUGUAGUAUAUGCGAAUUCGAUACAAUGCUCGCGAUAUACCGUUCAAAAUAACGUUGAAUGCACUGUUCAUAAUGUGUACAAAGAAACUCGUUUUACUGCGCAUAAUUCUUACAGCCAAACGUGACACGGGCGCGCGAGCGCGCGCGCGCGUAUCUAUAUAUCUAUUUUAUUACAUGCACAUGUCCAGAAAGGAAGAAAUAUUAUAUAUUAUAUAUUCUUACGAUACAAUGUGAAAGUUCGAACUUUGUUUGCUAGUUACCAAGGCAACCGAGUUUGUUCGCACAUAUUACUAGCUUCGUUAUCAAUUUUUAUUAACGCAUAAAUAAUACAUGUUACACUUUAAAAGAGCAAGAUAUAUCAGGAAUACUUGAUAAAUUUUCUGCCUAAUUUGCCUGCUUAACGUUGUAAUUCUGAUCUUCGUAAGAAAAAAAGGAAAAAUUCAUUUUGACUAAAUCAUGAUGUGCCGAGUAUUGUCACCUUCGGCGAUAGUCCUCCGAUUCUAUCCAUUUUGUAUGAACGGUAAUACGUGCCGUGGAAUUACUAAAUUUCCGGUAUUGUCGAACGUGGAAAAUCAAAGAUGUAUAGAUAUAAAUACCAAUGAAGUUAUAUCGACACGUAUGGCUCAAUCUCACGCAGCGUCAGCCGUUAGCGAAACUUUAAAUCGUGAUGACACGCUACCUUUGAUGGAGUCAACGAGUGCGGAAGUGAUGUCGGAAACUUUUGAAAUACCGAGUAAAUUUUUGCGACCAACCAUCGAAGAUAGAGCUCCGUUAUCCUUCGAUCAGAUACCAGGUCCCAUGAUAAUGAAGCUUUGGGAAAAAUAUUGGAAAUACGUGCCGAUUUUCGGUACGCAACUGUUUUCCAGUCUGCUAAACAACAGAUUCAGCCAGGGACGAUUAAGUUGGAAUCGCAACAUUACGCCGGUUAAAUAUCUCUUUAAUAGAUACGGUUGUAUCGUAAGACUCAGUGGUCCAUUAUCCGGUGAUAUCGUCAUGAUUCAUAGGCCAGAACAUAUAGAAGAAGUUUUCAAACAAGAAGGCAAUACGCCUAUUCGUAGUGGUAUCGAUGUUCUCGAGCACUAUCGUCUUCACUAUCGGAAAUAUCGUCUCGCAGGUGCUUUUUCAAUGCAAAGUACGGAAUGGUUAGAAUUGAAAGAAAAAGUACACAAACCGUUCAAUAAGAUAGAUCCAAAGUUUUUCAGAAAGCUUGAAAUAGUUUCCGAAGAUUUCAUAGGUCAAAUACGAAAAAUACGUAAUAGACAGGACGAAGUCCCUAAUAAUUUCAAUGAAGACGUUGCUCGCUGGGGUUCGGAAUGUUUCUUCACCCUUAUAUUCGAUAAGAAGCUUGGAUUUCUCGAUUCGACAGGACAGAACCCUACGUCGGAGCCAGCAAUAUUCAUCGAUGCGCUUACGACCGCUCACAAGUAUUUGAGCCGUUGCGAAACUGGUUUUCAAGUAUGGAGAUUCUUUGAUACUCCCUUUUCUAAACGGCUUUUUUCGGCGUGCGAUGUUAUCGAUGGUAUUAUAGGUAAAUACAUUCGUCAAGCACAAAAUAUGUUUCGAACCCGAUCGCCGUUGUCUUGUUCCGAGGAAACUUCAUCUGUUCUAGAAAAGUUGUUGUUAGCUCAACGUCUUCAUCCCGAUGAUGUUUCCACCUUAUUGAUGGACAUGGCAAUUUUGGGAGUUCAAGCGAUGACAAGUUGCGAAGCGUUUCUUUUAUACUUCUUGGCAAAGAGUCCCCGAGUUCAGAAGAAAUUAUACGAAGAGAUCGUUUCUGUUAUUCCUAACGCGGAAUCUUCGAUAACCGAAACUAAUUUGCAAGACAUGCCGUAUUUAAGAGCUUGCUUGAAAGAAAGUCUGAGAUUGCGACCUGCUUUUCCAUACAUUACCAGACUAUUACCAAAUUCGAUAUGUCUCCAUGGAUAUACAGUACCAAAAGGGACUUUCGUAAUAAUGGCCAGUCAAAUAACGUCACAACGCGAAGAAAAUUUCGAAGAUCCGGAGAAAUUUCGACCGGAAAGAUGGUUAACGAAUCGAGUGGACGAUGAUUUUCAAGAAUAUAGUUAUUUACCAUUUGGACAUGGCGCACGAUCUUGCCUGGGAAGACAUAUGGCUGAAAUAAAAAUGGCAUUGCUUACGGCAAAGUUGGUCCGGGAGUUCAAAAUUGAGUAUAAUUACGCCGAUAUUGGAACCAGUUUUUACAUGAUGAAUGUACCUGAUAAACCUCUUCGUUUUCGAUUUAUCGAUAGAGAUUGAAGCAACGAUUAUUACAUACUUGGAUAUGACAAAAUAAUUUUGUUAUAAAAUUUUUUCUACGAGUUAAGGAAUAUGAAUUAUGCAGGAAAUAACAGUGAAAUCUCUCAAAAUAUGAAGCGCGUGCUCAGUAUGUUUUACCUAAAUUACAUUGUAUAAAGUAAUUAUCGCAAGCUUAGCUUGCUUAUAUAUUUUCAAAAGUAUUUAUUACUUUGAAAACGAGUAAAAUACAUUUAUCUAUCAUUGUUAUUACCUUUGUGCAACAUUUUUCGAUGGUGUUAUUUAGAGAUAUCACUUUAAAGAAUGAUAUAGCUAUCGACAAUACUACGGGUAUAAAAUCAAAUAUAUACGAUAAUUUGAAUGAAAAAUAUGUAUGCUGUGCCUGUACAAAUCCCAGUACGUAUAUAAAUUGAGUCAUCAUGUCAGUGGUUAGUUGUAUUUGGAACGUUUCGUGGAAUUCAUAACAUGUUUUUGAAAGUUCCAGGUGUACGUGCCUUUGGAAAUAUAUUUUCAAUAGAUGAAGCAGAGAUAUUUUGUAAAGUUAUAAAUAAACAAUAAUUGUUACAUA